CUGAACCAUUAAUAGCGCCUCUCUCUCUCUCUCUCUCUCUUUUCAGCGUCCCUCUCCCUCUCCCUCACCGCCGCUCCUCUCCCCUCCACUCUCACCGGCGCUCCUCCUCGCGUUGGCCGACAACUGGAGCACCGAUUCACCUCCUUGUUGGUCACCGUCGCCUGAGAUCCUCUCUCUCCCUCUCGGCUCUGUUUUUUUGUCCCACAAAAACCCAUACAGCUUCACAUACACGCACACACAUGGGUUCUUCAAAUAGGUAACAAGGGCUGCCCUAAAGCUUCCAGCAGCAAGAUUUACCAGAUCAUUUCCCAUGAAUGAAAUGUUACAGUGACGGACUUUACGUCACUCAAUCUGAUUCAUUGUAGGCUUGCAGUAUUCCACGGUUAGGUUUAGUUUCUUCUUUAUUAAUGGGUUUCUAAUAAUUUUCAUUGUAGAGAGACAGAGUGUGUUGCCAUUGUUGUUAAGGCUACAGGUGAAAGCUUUGAAUCUUCGACUUCUCUGAGUGUUGUUAAAUCCGUACAAAAUGUUAUUACGGGAUUGGUGGAUCGGCUUCUGAAUUCUCAGGCACCCGUCUGUUAAUUUUCUUGAUUUAAAAAAACAAAAUUAUUCUGGGUAUGUUUGUUUUGAUGAUCUGAAUUCCCAAGCUAAUGCAGUGUCUCAUUACUAUUAAAGUAUCCCAAAUCAUUUAUGUGUUGAAGCCAAUAAAAUAUGUAGGCAUUGAAGUUUGGCAAGUAGGAGUCUUGACUCUCUAUACUGAAUGGUUGUUGCUUCUCAUCUCAUGUUUAACUAUCUUUACCAGACAGAAUGAAGGAUCUGAUGAUGUUAAUCAAGUCUUCCCCCUUUGCGGAAGUUCAAAGCAUUAUUAUAUACUGCAAAUUUCAGCUAACCCCAUGAGUUGUUCUUUCCAUAUAGUGUAUACCAUGGCCUUAGAUAGUUAAAUCCUUUGCUUAAAAUGAUUUUUUUUGACAAUAUAGAAUUCAAUUGGAUGAAAUUUUAUACUUAUUUACAUUGCAAUUUUGACUGCCUGGCUUUUGAUUAAAUUAUUUGUUUUGCAGUAUGAAACUGAUUUGAUAAGCAAAUACUUAAGCGACAACAAUAUUCAAGCAAUGGUUAUCCAUUACACUUUACCAGAAAGCUUGGAAGAGUAUGUUUAGGAGAUUGGACGUGCUGGACUCGAUGGUAGAUUAUCUUAUUGCCAUCUCUUUUUUGAUGAUAGCACAUAUUUUAAGCUUCGUAGUCUAACAUACAGUGAUGGUGUAGAUGAAUAUGCAGUCAGCAGAUUCCUCUCUGAAGUUUUUACUAAUGAAUUGGAUUCACAUGGGAAAAUUUGCUCUUUAGUCAAAGAGCUUGCAUCGCGUAAAUUUGAUAUGAAAGAAGAGGUGAUGCUGACCAUUCUAACACAUUUGGAGUUGGGUGAAGUGCAGUACUUGCGUCUGCUUCCACAAACAAAUGUAACCUGCACCAUAAAUUUCCAUCAGGUAGGUUGCAAAUUAAUUAAAAAUCAUGUCAGACUUCUCUUUCUCUGGUUGCAUUCUGGGUUGAGCAAGGGAGGUUAUUCAAACCUUUACUAGUUACUUUGACAGUGCCAUGUAAAGGCAUGGACAUGCAUAAAGCAUCAAUGCAAUCAUUAGUUCUUCUUGUUUUAUGCAACUGUAGUUUAGUUCACACACAUAAUAAAAUUACUUUUGAAUAACUUAAGCUACAAAUAUGUGACUUUCACUGCCUCUAGUAUUUCUUAUGAUGAUCUGUCCUAUGUGAGAGAUGAGGCACAAAGCAUGAGAAGUUCCCUUGGACAGGGCAGGAAUAGAUGAUACAUGCACUGAAGUUGUAAAUGAGGUUGGAGGUGUAACAAAUGUGGCUCCUGAAGAACAACUGUGGGAUUCAGAAAGUGCAGGAAUAGAUGAUACAUGCACUGAAGUUGUAUGCAACAAUUAUGAUGGAACAAUGGUUGACCCUACAUUAGAAUUGUUGACCAAUACUUUAAAUGUCUAUUCAGGAGACAGUUCAGUUGCUUCUUUUUCAAAUGUGGAAGUUUCUGCUUCUUUUGGGAACGGUGAAGACUUCCAAAAUGCAAGGAGUAUCUCAGAUCGAGAAGAGCGCUCUACAUUAGAGGAAGAUACAUUGCCAAAGUCUGUUGUUGAUAGGGUGAAUGUUGUAGAGGUUCCCAAUUAGAGCUCAUUGGAUACAAUAUCAGAAAUAGAAACUGAAAAUGGUCAUCUGGGUAUGCCUGGUUCUGAGUCUGAUGUUGGUUCCCCAAAUACAAGGAGCACCAUAGAUGAGUUACCAGAGCCUUUUGUUGCUACUGCAUUUGAUAAGGAUAUAACUGCUUCAGUUGCAGAGCAUGACACCUCGGAUGGUUGGAACUAAAAUGUGUAGUGGGAGUAGUUGGUUAUUCCUGUAUUAUGUAUGAAAUUAAAUUAUUGACGUUGGAUUAGACUUGGUUCUUAUGGAAUUUGUAAUAUAUAUAUAAUUGGACGUUCAAUAUUAAUUUUUUGGAUGGUUGGAACUAAAA